rnacentral:rRNA from 1 species
ACAGUGGACGCGAGCAUCUGUGGCCAAGUUUUUAAGGGCGCACGGUGGAUGCCUUGGCACCAGGAACCGAUGAAGGACGUGGGAGGCCACGAUAGUCCCCGGGGAGUCGUCAACCAGGCUUUGAUCCGGGGGUUUCCGAAUGGGGAAACCCGGCAGUCGUCAUGGGCUGUCACCCGCUGCUGAACUCAUAGGCAGUGUGGAGGGAACGCGGGGAAGUGAAACAUCUCAGUACCCGCAGGAAGAGAAAACAACCGUGAUUCCGGGAGUAGUGGCGAGCGAAACUGGAUGAGGCCAAACCGUAUGUGUGUGAUACCCGGCAGGGGUUGCGCAUGCGGGGUUGUGGGAUCUCUCUUCCACGGUCUGCCGGCCGUGGGACGAGUCAGAAACCGUUGAUGUAGGCGAAGGACAUGCGAAAGGUCCGGCGUAGA